rnacentral:rRNA from 1 species
AGCAGCCGCGGUAAUUCCAGCUCCAAUAGCGUAUAUUAAAGUUGUUGCAGUUAAAAAGCUCGUAGUUGAAUUUCGGGGUUAGUAGGUUGGUCAUGCCUCUGGUAUGCACUGGUCUUACUGAUUCCUCCUUCCUGAUAAACCGUAAUGCCAUUAAUUUGGUGUUGCGGGGAAACUGGACUGUUACUUUGAAAAAAUUAGAGUGUUUAAAGCAAGCUAACGCUUGAAUACAUUAGCAUGGAAUAAUGAAAUAGGACGUUCGAUCCUAUUUUGUUGGUUUCUAGGAUUGACGUAAUGAUUAAUAGGGGUAGUUGGGGGCAUUAGUAUUCAAUUGUCAGAGGUGAAAUUCUUGGAUUUAUUGAAGACUAACUACUGCGAAAGCAUUUGCCAAGGAUGUUUUCAUUAAUCAAGAACGAAAGUUAGGGGAUCGAAGACGAUCAGAUACCGUCGUAGUCUUAACCAUAAACUAUGCCGACUAGGGGUCGGAUGAUGUUAAUUUUAUAAUGACUCAUUCGGCGCCUUA